CCCUAGAAGGCCCACGACCACCUUGCCGCCUUCCCAACUCCAUCGACUCCGGCGACGGCGUCGCCGUCGCCCGGUGGUUGAGCCCGCUGGAAAUCUUUCUACUUCGGUCCUCUCCUCGCAGCGAUGAUGGACAGCUCUGCUUUUGAAGUGUAGAUGUGUGACCUAGUACCUAAGAAAUCUUAAUGCAUGGUGGCCUUGUACCCACUCAAGUUAGGACCAGCCACUGGUCAUAGCAUUUUGUGCUGGCCUUCGAGGCCUUAAUGUUUCUGGUGAAUUGUUGUUUAGGAGUCGACAUCGAUAUAUAAAUUUGUGUCCACGUACAUUGCACAUGCUGAAACAGUAAAGGAAAUCUAUUGCACAGGAAGGGAGACCAGGACUAGGGUAGCUGCAUGGCUGUGACCUGCUGAAGAAUUGAACAAAGGCAAGCACACUGGCUUCUUAGAUUUCUAAGCUGGCAUGCAAUGCCGAUGACAUACUUUCUAUCAAGGGACCUACUCUUUUGGGAUUCUUAGGAUUCAAGUAUCCUUCACUGGUCACUUUAAUGGUAUGAAAGGGAGAAAGGGAAAAAAAUACAGAUAGAAGGGGAAAAGGCCACUGAAUGAGGUAGGGCAAAAAGGGACUCCAAUCUAAGAUUGUCUUAAUGGCCCAAGAAUUAUUUAGCUCUGCCAUUGUGUGGUGGAAUUUGCUGGACCAUCAAUUCCGCCAGCCCAAUUCGGUCUUCUACUGCUCCACAGGGAUGAGUGAAUGGUCAUGUGAAACUUUUGCGUGCCUUGCCACACCACCAGGUCCAUGAGUAACCUUGCUUUCGGUAGAGGGGCAGGACUGGAGGAAAGAUGGCUAUAAAUAUGGUGU